rnacentral:tRNA from 1 species
UCCCUGGCAGUCCAGUGGUUAGGACUUGGCGCUUUCACUGCAGCUGCCCAGGUUCAAUUCCUGGCCAGGGAA